rnacentral:rRNA from 1 species
CUCCAGACUCCUACGGGAGGCAGCAGUGAGGAAUAUUGGUCAAUGGUCGGGAGACUGAACCAGCCAAGCCGCGUGAGGGAUGAAGGUACAGAGUAUCGUAAACCUCUUUUGUCAGGGAACAAAGGCGGGGACGUGUCCCCGGAUGAGUGUACCUGAAGAAAAAGCAUCGGCUAACUCCGUGCCAGCAGCCGCGGUAAUACGGAGGAUGCGAGCGUUAUCCGGAUUUAUUGGGUUUAAAGGGUGCGUAGGCGGAUUAGUAAGUCAGCGGUAAAAAUGCGGUGCUCAACGCCGUAUCGCCGUUGAAACUGCGGGUCUUGAGUGAGCGAGAAGUAUGCGGAAUGCGUGGUGUAGCGGUGAAAUGCAUAGAUAUCACGCAGAACUCCGAUUGCGAAGGCAGCAUACCGGCGCUCAACUGACGCUGAGGCACGAAAGCGUGGGGAUCGAACAGGAUUAGAUACCCCCGUA